rnacentral:tRNA from 2 species
GGGAUCAAGGUGUUAGCGGCAGCAUACGUGGCUCUUAACCACGGUGGUGAGGGUUCGAGUCCCUCUGAUCCCG